UUUAACUUUGCGAUCAAAAUAUACCUUAUCAAGAAGAAGUAGGUAAAUCAGGGAAGAAAUUGGAAUAAAAUAUAUUGCUGGAGUGGAAUUUAUUAAACUCAACGCCAAGACAAGACGGCUCAGACGGCUGUAGAAUUUAUGAACAGCUUCAAGGCUAAUACCCGAUUUGGAUGGAAAGCUGGAAAAUUUACGCUCAUUUGUGGACGCCUUAUCACUAGUUGAUACUAUCAAAGACUCUCAUAAAUCAGGGAAGAAAUCGGAAUAAAAUAUAUUGCUGGAGUGGAGCUUAUUAAACUCAACAUUAGAAACUGGAAAAAAAAUUAGAGAAAUUAUUAAUUCCAUUUUUACAGGCCAAGACAAGACGGCUGUAGAAUUUAUGAACAGCUUCAAGGCUAAUACCCGAUUUGGAUGGAAAGCUGGAAAAUUUGUGCUCAUUUGUGGACGCCUUAUCACUAGUUGAUACUAUCAAAGACUCUCAUGAAUCCGUCGCAGUAUAAGUUUUCAAGACUACAAUGAUGGGAAAUACUACAAACUUGAUAGGAGACGAGACGACAAUUCGACUAAUAAAAAUGUAAAAAAAAAUGUCAAUCUGAUGAAUAUUGACAAUAAAAUUUCGGGAAACUCGGACAUCCCCCUAAGAUUAGACCAGUAAAUAGAAAGUGCAUAAUAUCCGUCUUAACUUUAGCCUAUUUCUGUCUCUAAAAGUGUCGCCGAAUAGAAUGAGGUCAUUAUGGAAUUUUUGGGACACUUUAGAAAAUCAAAUGAUAUUUUUAUUGGAAAAACAUGACGAAAUAUGUAACAUGAUACAUUAAAGAAUGUUUGAAAUGUCAUACUGCUAAGACUACGAAACAUUUGAAAACUCAGUACCAAGGACAGAACAAAGCCGAUUUGUGACAAAACUGUCGCUAAGGCGACAUUUGAGCACUUUAAUCUCACCUAUAGUCCAAUGAAGACGUUCAUUUCGGGCAUGAGGACAGAGUACAAGAAUACCCUACUAAUGGAGAUAUGUGAUCCACUAAAAAUUGAGAAAUAAACAUCUACAGCUUAUCACCAUCAGACACUAGGUACAAUCGAAAGAAGUCACAGAACUUGUAUGCUAUGUAUACUUGUAUGCAAUAAGUAGAAAUAUGUAGAUGUAAGAAUAUGUAUUUAUGUAUAACUCUUAGAAAUGCAUUGAUUUUGGAAAUCAUUGAUUAAUGCUGAUCGAGCCAAUUCUGGCUAUAAAUUUGCUGGUU